GAAAUUAUUUUAGCAUCCUUAUUUCCAAAUCCUCUAAACACCCUGAGGACAUGUGAUGCAAAGGUUUUAUUGGUGGAGAUUUGAAAAGAAAUGAUCUGUACGAAGGCCCCUUACACAGUCUCAUGGACUGUGUCAUGAGCAAGUAGUCAAGCUCCUUUCGUGGAGGAGAUAAUUUGGGAUCCAAUAAUACAGAUGCACAAUCUCUGACCAAAAAGUCACAAAGUCUUAAGGGACAUGGCCUGGGCACAAUGUUAACAAAACUCCCUAUUUUCCCCACCCCAUAGUAGCUCAACACCCACAAUGUGCACUUAUAUCCGGUGUCCCCAGCCAAAGCCAGUGGGAAGCUCAGCACCAUCAGUGUCACUGUCAGCGCUGCCAUGCGGGAGCCUCCAGGGAGCUUCACACACCAUGCUGGAGAACAGGAAAGGACCAGGGGCCAGAGGAGGAGGUCUUUCGAUACUGGAAAAUGCUGUGAUUCUGUGGACGCCUGAAGGAGCAGCAGCCCCGGGUAUCUGAUAAUAUGACAGAAUGACAGCUAUUGACUAGAGAGCUUAAUCCGUACCUGUUUACAGAAACCACUAUGGUGUCGCCCUGUCGCUGUUUGAACAUCACUAUGCCAUGGACCCUGUUGGACUGAACAGAGGAGGAUGAAUGUGGAAAUAAAGACAAAAGAGUAUAUUUGGAAGAAGGGGUCAGGGGCACCUUGCUCUUUGUGAACAAAGGCCCUGAGCCUUGAGCUUCCUUUGUAUUUACUGAGAAGAGAUAGCAAGAAGGGGGUCGUUGUCGGUCUGCUGCUUGCUCCAGAGCAGCCUUCCAAGACUGCAUUCCUUGAACAAUAGAUUCUAGAUGUCCCAGUAGAUAACCUGAAGGAGCUCAGCGCCAGGGAGUGAUUGCCCUCAGCAAACCUUCUGGUGGCCAGCACAGAGGAGAGUUUGCCCCUGCUCUGUAUUCAUGAUAAACAGUUUGCUGUUUGAUCAUAUUGCCUCAGUGGAAAUUCUGAGUUGGUCAUGAUUCUCCAGCCUCUGGCUCUCUACACUGAAUGGAUUCAACAAGAAAGUGGUUGAAUUUAUGCAACUGUCUAGUUAUUUAUAAUGAAACAAGCAAAAAUUAGCCAUAAAGAAGUGAAUUGGGUGAUGAUUGUAUAAAAGAUGUGAGUCUAGGCCAGGCAUGGUGGCUCUCGCCUGUAAUCCCAGCAAUUU
rnacentral:lncRNA from 10 species